GCACUUAUAGUUCAAUGGAUAGAACGUCAGACCACGGUUCUGAUAAUGAGGGUUCGAAUCCUUCUAAGUGCU
rnacentral:tRNA from 1 species